UACGUAGGGUGCGAGCGUUGUCCGGAAUUACUGGGCGUAAAGAGCUCGUAGGUGGUUUGUCGCGUCGUCUGUGAAAUUCCGGGGCUUAACUCCGGGCGUGCAGGCGAUACGGGCAUAACUUGAGUACUGUAGGGGAGACUGGAAUUCCUGGUGUAGCGGUGAAAUGCGCAGAUAUCAGGAGGAACACCGGUGGCGAAGGCGGGUCUCUGGGCUCAUUCUGACGCUGAGGAACGAAAGCGUGGGUAGCAAACAGG
rnacentral:rRNA from 1 species